rnacentral:rRNA from 1 species
GAUGAACGCUGGCGGCGUGCCUAAUACAUGCAAGUCGAGCGAACAGACGAGGAGCUUGCUCCUCUGACGUUAGCGGCGGACGGGUGAGUAACACGUGGAUAACCUACCUAUAAGACUGGGAUAACUUCGGGAAACCGGAGCUAAUACCGGAUAAUAUAUUGAACCGCAUGGUUCAAUAGUGAAAGACGGUUUUGCUGUCACUUAUAGAUGGAUCCGCGCCGCAUUAGCUAGUUGGUAAGGUAACGGCUUACCAAGGCAACGAUGCGUAGCCGACCUGAGAGGGUGAUCGGCCACACUGGAACUGGGACACGGUCCAGACUCCUACGGGAGGCAGCAGUAGGGAAUCUUCCGCAAUAGGCGAAAGCCUGACGGAGCAACGCCGCGUGAGUGAUGAAGGUCUUCGGAUCGUAAAACUCUGUUAUUAGGGAAGAACAAAUGUGUAAGUAACUAUGCACGUCUUGACGGUACCUAAUCAGAAAGCCACGGCUAACUACGUG